GUCAGGAUGGCCGAGUGGUCUAA
rnacentral:ncRNA from 4 species